CAAACCUUCAGCACGGGGAAGUUGUUCUCAUUCACCUCUCUGUUUAUUUUCCAGCUCUUAUCCUAUCAGCUGAAGUGAAUCAAGGUGGGAGGAGGUGAAGCAAUUGGAACAGGCAGUUUUUAAGGCUGCGCUGAGUAUAAGGGGAGUUAAGUGGAGAUAUGCCCCAAACAGAACCAGUGGACCUGGUGUCACACCUAACAGUUGUGUGAAGCAGCGCCCUAUCCCCUGGUAUUGCCAGGAGGAGCCGUGGAAGGAGGAAAUUCAAAGAGGAGGUAUGGCAUGGUCCUUGCCCAGUACCCUUCUUGCUCCAGGCAGUCUGUGGUUUAUGGACUUCCCAAAGCAGAGGCUGCCUCCAGACCAG
rnacentral:lncRNA from 1 species